UGAGAUUCUGUGUCAAGUUUUUAUAAAUCAGUGAUGCAAAGGAUUCAAUAUCUAGCAGGAUAUAAAACAUUUGGGACCUUGAAAAGUUUCUUAACCCCUCUGGUAUGCAAUGCUUCGAGACUCCCAGACUACAGAUCAUGGUAAUUUUUUCAGCUCUUACAGAAAUUAAAAUUUUGAGUCCAAGUUUCAAAGCUUGAAUUUACACACCUUAUACCCCAAACUAGACCAAAUGGUUACUGAGGUAUAGCCUGUCAAAGUUGGGAAAAGACAUUGGAAUAGAGGGAGGCAGUGAGAGGGAGGUGGGGAGUUACCCCCCUUGCCUGGGUACAGGCUGGAAUCAUCCUGCCUAUCCAACACUUAGUUCUUACUGACUGGAAGGGAUCUACGUCCCAGUCUGGUUGGACCAUGUGGCUGCCAGUUUUUAAUAAGAUGUUUGCACUUGUCAUUUCCUUUGAUUUUAAGUACUAUCCUGAAAAAUUGAUGCUCGUUGUUCCUGGCACCAGAGGGGUUGAUGACGAAAUGGACCCUAAAUGGAUAAAAUCUUGGUCAUGGACCUUCCGAACACAGUACUGGGGAAUCAGUGUUGGCAUAGUAACUUGACUUUCUAUGAAUUGCCAUUAUUUUUAAAUUGUCAUUGCCCUAUAAAUGGUUUGUUUGACAAUUUGUUAGGUCCCCUUUUUAAUUCAACUUAAAAGGUUUUAUGCUUAGCAUUAUAUGUUUAGUAGAGCUACAGAUUUAUUGUAAAGAUAAAUGUAUGUCAUCAGAUAGUGUGUGCUAAGCUUUGUAAGCUUGAUUAUUUUUGUAACUUUGAUAAAUGUGGUAGUCUAUAUCCUUGUACAUAUGAUGAUAUGCAAAGUUAGGUUGAGGCAGAAAACAACAAAAGUUGUAGUGCACACAGUCCAAGGCACAGCUGUAAAACAUCUUGUAUUUAAUUAAACUCAUGAUUUGUAACUGGAAAUUCUGAACUUAAAAGGUGCUAUCUGAACUGCAUCAUAGAAAAUGUGUUGUUACCCAUUACAUAUCUAAUAAGAGUAUAAAAUAAUUAUAAAACAGUACAUGAAACUAAACACGUACCACAGCUUACAGUUGAAAUAUUUUAUAGUUCAUAUUGCAGAUAGAUGUAACAAGUAGCAGACAGGGGAAGAAAAGUUAAUUUUCAAGCUAUUUAAAAAGCAUUACCAAUAUGCAUGUAGUACUGUGAACUUAUGAUCCAUAGAGUUGAGGUGGUAAUGUAUCUUUACUCUGCAUUAUUAGCCUAGAGUACCUGAGUAGCCAUAGUUACUUUUGUGGAGUUGUUAAUGUGUGUUGUGAGGCAGACUACUCAAAUAGUACCUACACACAUAGACUUGUGGCUCCCCCUCACUGAACAUUCAUUAGGUUUGGUCAACACCUGCAUGUGGGUUGUAUUAUUUCUUUGCAUUGAUGAAAUAUAUUGGAAGCAGGUCAGUGAAAUGCUUAAAAGUUGUUUUGGUUCGACAAAUUAGUUUUGUGUAGUGAAAACUCAACUACAAGAAAAAGACACACACUAGAGCUGCUGGAACCAGGUAACAGAUUAUAAAAACCUUAUUGCCACUUAUGAAACUUCAAUAGUGUACCUGCAGCAAUGUUUUUAGAGUCAUUGAGAAGUGCAUUACAGGUUUCAAACAUUAUCCCAUUUGACUAAUAUUAAUGAAAUGUAUUUUAUGCCUACCUUGUGUUGGAGAGUCGUUUGUUUCAGUUAUGACAUUGUAUGUCAGUAUAGUGUCUUUCAUCUAUGAAAUAGUUAUUGCUGCUGUUCAUAGUCACUGUUGUGUUCACUCAAUGGCCAGCUCUACACAUGACAUUGGAGCCUCAUUUGCCACGGUGGUUAGUGGUUAGACAGCCCCCCUGCUGCACUCCAUCACAACAUUCCCCCACAGUGAUGUUCACACAUACCAUAAUCAUCCCUGCUGUAUAUAGGUAUAUAAUUGUAAAAUUGUAAUUAUUUAUUGUAAGGUAAUUAUGACUGAGAGCAGAACUGAUAUCAUGAGGCAGAAAAUACAGUUAAUGUGUUGGGAUGGCCUUUGGAGCAGCAUUCUGGUAGGCCUUUUGAUUUUGCUUUGAUGGCUUCCUGCCAAGAAAUUAUGCUUAAUUAUCUCACAUAUAGUUACAAAGAUGUGCAUUCUAAUACAACAUGUACUAAAUAACAUGGACAACAAAAAUGUGAUAACCUGAGAACUUCCCAGAGACUAUGGCUGUUGUAAAAUUGACAUUUUUACAUGAUGAUUGCCUUCAAAAGCCAAUUAUCAUGGAUACAAGUAUCCAUCCAUGAAUGUAUUUUAGUGUAUUGAAGAAAAGAAAGUUGGAAAAUGGAAACAAAAGCAAGGACAGUAAGUGAAUAACUCUGUGCAUGUUCUGCUGACUGAGACAUUAAUGUGACAGUGCAGGAAAGUGAUCUGUUCUAACCAUUACAAGUCUUACACUAGGUACACACUAUGUUCUCAUCAGCAUGCAUGGGAAGAUGAGUUAUAAGUCCCUACUGAAUAAAAGACAAUUGUAGUAUAAAGGUAAUUAUUUCAAACCUCUCCAAGUUGCAUGAAAAGUUCCAUAACUCUUGAGAAUAUUGGUGUAGCAACUACUAUACAACACAUUAAAGAAAUUAAGACCUGGAACUUGUGACUACUACUGGGGAUAGGUUCUUGUACUAUUCAGAAAAUCCCUUUCAUCAAUGUGUGUCCCCUCAGACUGGAAAGAUGCUAAUGUAAUGCCACUAUUUAAAGGGGGAGUUCAUUCUGAUCCUCUUAAUUAUAGACCCAUAAGCUUGACAUCUGUGUGCUCAAAGUCUUUUGAGAGAAUUAUAGUUUCUCAAUUGUCUGCCUUUUUGGAACAUAGUCAAUUACUUUCACCUCAUCAGUAUGGUUUUAGAUCAGGCAGGUCAGUGUCUGAGCAAUCAUUAUACACUUAUGACCAUGUUACUGAUCACUAUGAUAAAAAAAUUUCAGUGGAUAUUAUAUUUUUUGACUUUAAGAAGGCUUUUGAUGUUGUGAACCAUAGAUUGUUACUUAGGAUGUUAGCUAGCAUUGGAGUUGAAGGCUGUUUGCUGGGGUAGCUGAGUGAUUACUUGAUUGGCAGGGAAAUGAAAGUGGCUGUGCAUGGCUAUGAGUUCUAAAGGUGAGGUUGGUAGCAGUGUUCCACAGGGUUCAGUGAUUGGUCCCUUGCUAUUUCUUAUCUAUAUCAGUCAUGUUGUUUCCGGUUUGAAUUGUAAAUCUCGAAAUCUGACCAUUUCAUUUCCCAUCUCAUCUGCAGAGAGAUAUUACCCUACUCUUUAAUACAAGUAGAUCUUGGGGUUUGUCUUUUACAAAUGGCAAAUGUGUCAGAAUGAACUUUUGUAGGAAUUUUCAAGAUGCACCUGUUCUCUUGCAGUACUUCAUUGUUUGGCUCCAAGCAGUGUCACGCAUAAACCACGCCUCGGCCGUGUCUCCUCCCACAAACCUGCGGAUGACUUGACUUGGUGUAUAUAUAGACUUAGAGUUUGGGAACGCUGCACUCAGCCCGUGGCAUCAGUAUUUACUGGGCCUUGGAAAGGCAAGAACGCCGCAUUGCUCGUCUUCUACCCCCCCUACUCACCCCUCGACCUCAGAGGAGGGGGGACAGGCGAUGCGGACACCGCACCAAAGCGAGUGGUGACCCGCCCACCGAGGAGCCCUCCACGCAGUGCAUAGCCCCACCACAAGACAGGCCCACCAACAACACCGCGAGGGGCAAUAGCGACAUCAGCCUCAGCAAGGAGACGUGCAUGGUCCUCAACGCCAUCCUCGUGUGCGUGGUGCAGGUCAUGAGGUGGCUACUUGACCGCCAGCACCCUCCCUCCAGCGACAGUGACCUCGACACUCUCCUGCGCAACGAGGUGCUCGUGGCCACCAUGGAGGGUGCCCACAACCCCCUUCCACCACCAUCACCACUGAGGGAGAAUGCCCAGCAACCCCUCCACCCAGCUGAAGCACCUCGCCAAGAUGGAGAGUCGCAGUGAGCGGUACACUCCUUCUGCUCCCUCUGCGGCGCUGUGUCUGAGGGUGCUGCAGUGGAACAUGCAGGGCCUGCGACCCAAGCGUCACGAGGUGCUGCAGGCCAUCUUUCAGGAGGGGCUGGAUGUGGUGCUGCUACAGGAGACCCUUACGCUGGCCAACUUCAUGUAAGGACAUAAGAACAUAGGGAAACUGCAAGAGGCUUAAUGGUCUACACUAGGCAGCUUCAGAUUCCCCCUCACUACCAUCUGUCAUCCUCGUCCAUGUGGCUAUCCAGUCUACUCUUAAAACAGGCUAUCGUCCCUGCACUCACUAUGUGAUUGAUGAGUCUGUUCCAUUCCCCCACCACCCUAUUACUAAAACAAUGCCUGCCUAUUUCCCUCCUAAAUCUAUAUUUUUCUAAUUUAAAUCCAUUACUGCAUGUUCUAUCCUGCUGGCUAAUUCUCAGUACUUUACUUAUAUCGCCUUUGUUGUAACCCUUGACCCAUUUGAAUACUUCUAUCAGAUCUCCCCACACUCUUCGUCUUUCUAGUGAAUGUAAGUUUAGAUGUUUCAGCCUAUCUUGAUAUGGGAGGUUCCUCAGCCCCUGAAUCAUCUUGGUCAUCCUCCUGAACUGAUUCUAGCAAGUUGAUGUCCAUUCUGCAGUGUGGGCACCAAAACUGGACAGCAUAAUCUAAGUGUGGCCUAACUAACGCUAAAUAGAGUCAGAGUCUGAGGAUGACUGUCCUUGUUUUGUUCUCUAUCAAGACCAAGAUGUUAGCUAUUCCCAGCCGCCCCUGUCUGUGUGUAGACGUCGUCUGAAAACAUGCUUCAGACCCCAGCUGGUUAGAACUUGCUGGUGCUUGUAAAAAAAAAAUCCCACUCAAGGAUACUCCAUUUUUUUUUUUACAGGUUUAAAACUGAUAGAGCAGAUCUCAAAUUAUUUUACUCUGGUGACUUUAAAUGAACAGAUAAAUGUAUAAAUGGUGACCUACUUAAGUUAUCAUAUGACCACGAGACUGACAGUAGUGUACAAGAAUUACAUUCUGGAGUCCACACCUCAAAAUAAUUUACAUAUAUAAAUAACCUACAAACAUAUUUAAAUGUUUGAAAUUCCACCUUCAUAAAAAUAGUUGACUAUUAUUGACCCUUAUAUCCUACAAGUACACUGCAGGAUGUACCACUGCACACCACUUGUUUUAAGCAUAGCUCAAAAAAUGAAUUGGUGAAUAAAUGAAUAUGGUUGAGGUUCAAGGUUGUCAAAGGUAAUUAUUGAUUUUAUCAGAUUGAUAAUUGUGACUUCUGCCAUGACCACCCCCUUGGGAGAAGUUCCUGUGAGGGGACAGGGCAAUAGAGAUAUAGAUAGAUAGAUAGAUUCAUAGAAAAUUGACAAGUCAUACAGUGGAGCAUCACUUUACAUGUAACACCGGUAAUGCUUCUGCCCUUAUGAGUGGCAGGCAUCUUGCCACAGUAUAUCAACUGAUUUUAGUAAAUGUGCUUAAUUUCAGACCCAAUACAAAUGUAUUUUAUUAACUUAUGACCUGACAAGUGUGCUGAUGCAAUGUGUCAUUGCUGAGAUAUAUUUUGUUUUCCAGUGGUCAGUGUUAUUGAUAGUAGAAAGUGUAUCUUCCAUACUAUUUAGCUUUGUAACCCUCAUGUUAUCUACAUUUAUAAUAUUUCUCAUAUAAUUAUGAACUGUAUCAAUCUCACAGGAUGUCUUGAAAAAGUAUCUUACUGUGACAGCACACUGCAAGCAGUGUCCUAUAGUAAUUGCCUAUAGUUAAAGGAUUUACUUAUCAGAUAAUCUGCUAUAGUGAAACUGUUAUAUAAUCAAUACACCAUAUAAACUUUAA